UACGUAGGUGACAAGCGUUGUCCGGAUUUACUGGGCGUAAAGAGCGCGCAGGCGGUCGAUCAAGUCGAGUGUGAAAGCCCCCGGCUCAACUGGGGAGGGUCAUUCGAUACUGAUCGACUCGAAGGCAGGAGAGGGUAGUGGAAUUCCCGGUGUAGUGGUGAAAUGCGUAGAUAUCGGGAGGAACACCAGUGGCGAAGGCGGCAUCCUGGACUGGUCCUGACACUCAUGAGCGAAAGCGUGGGGAGCGAUCCGG
rnacentral:rRNA from 1 species